rnacentral:lncRNA from 1 species
AUACCAGUCUGGCAGCAUGUAUGAAAAGAACGGCGAGAGAAGCUGUUUUAUGCAUUUCUAAAGGAAGCAGAGAAGUAAGAGCUUGGUAUUUUUCAAAUGGAACUCAAAGGUCUUUGCAGCCUGGGCUCGGCACUGGGCUGAGAGCUGUCAGAGGAGCUGCUGCAGGGGUGGCUGCCAUUCCUCAACCCGAUUCUAUCAUUAUUAUUUACAUUCUAUGUCUUCUCUUUCAAGAUUAUUUUUUUGACAUUUGCCUUCUGGCAGAGCCAGGACCGAUGAGCGGGAGGUGGAUUUUGGCGGAACACAGGAGGAAUUCUCUUAGUCAGAACCAUCCAAAAAUGGAAAGACCUGACUCAGAAGACAGCGUGUCCCCUGCCUGCAUAAGGUCCUGGUGAGGUCCUGUCAAGGGUGCUCUGCCCCGUGCUUUGACAGACGUGUGCAGAGAUGAAAGAUGAGGAUGUCAAGACUUGGAGUAGGUGACAGUUGGCCUUGGGCUUCGGUGGCCAACCCAUGACUACAAAAGCCCAAGAAGCCAGCAGGUCCCCCGGCUCCUCCACCAAGUGGCCUCUGGGUGAUGGGGAAGCUUGUCCUCUGCUUUGUCACACACAAAAUUCUAAAAGUCAGGAUCCCAACGCAUCAGCCUGGAGAGCCCGUCCAGGAGGAUUUAUGUGGAAUCUGGCUUUUCUGAUAGCAUCAACGUUCCUUCCCAUGCCUUCUGAGUCUCUUUCUCUUAAUUUGACUGUGGUCUCUGCUCUUUGCUGGACUCGGGAGAUGUCACAAAUUCUGCACCAGAAUCUCACAAAUCACAAAGAACUUACUCAUGUAACCAAACACCACCUGUUUCCCAAUAACUAUGGAAAUAAAAAAAAAAAUUUUAAUAAUAAAAAAAUUAAAAAACAAAA